rnacentral:tRNA from 1 species
GCCUCGGUGGUGUAGCCCGGUCUAGCAUAGGACGCUGUCACCGUUCUGACCCGGGUUCAAAUCCCGGCCGAGGCG